AUGACUCCUGAUGAACUCAAAGCACGUAAGGAAGAACUACGCGCCCGCGAGGAAGACCUCAAAUCUCGCGAGGCCAAGCUCACUCGCCAAGCUGCAGAAAAGGGCAAAACGCCUGUAGACAACCCCUCCAACACCUCAGCUUCCUACGUAGCCUCCAUCAAAGUCCAUGUUCCUAUCACCUUAGAUCUCCAAGACUCCAACUAUGCAAAGUGGCGUGAGCUUUUUCUGGUCGCCCUUGGUCGUUACGGCCUUACCGCUCAUGUCAGCAGCGACAAUGAUGCGACUCCCUCCGACACAUCUCCAACAUCCGAUUGGGUGCGCGAUGACUACACCGUCCUCUCGUGGAUCUACAGCUCCAUCUCCACCGAGCUCUUCAGCAUCUUCAUGGCGCCCGGCUCCUCCGCCCGGCAGAUUUGGCUCGCCAUCGACAACCUCUUCCGUGACAACAAGAAAAGUCGUGCCAUCGCCCUCGACGCCGAGUUCCGCAACACUCCACAAGGCGACAUGACGGUGUCUGAUUACUGUGCCAAGCUCAAAGGUCUCGCCGAUGCUCUCGCCGAUGUCGGGCAGACCGUCACUGAUGAAACCCUCGUCCUCACCAUGCUUCGGGGUCUCAACGAGCAAUACGCAAACCUUCGCUCUUUUCUUCCGUUUCAGGUUCCGUUUCCAAGCUUCCUGCAGACUAGAUCGGCAUUGGUGCUUGAGGAAGCACAGAAAAGGACGGACGCCAAGAACAACGCCGCAACUGCACUUUGGGCCAGCGGCAAUAGUGUGCUUCCUAGUGCUGGUGGCGAGCGUUUUUAUUCCUAUGGCGGUGACCGUUCCAUUGGUCGCGGCAACGGCACCACCGGCGGCUUCUCCAACACCGGCAACGGCAUGCCCAACAAUCGUGGCGGCGGGGGAGGCGGCCGUGGCCGCGGCCGCGGUGGUGGUCGUGGGCGUGACACCCCGUGGAUGUACAAUCCAUGGACGGGGCUCCCUACUCAAGCGCAUCUCCAGCACCAACAGUCUGCACCGCAGUGGCGGGCUCAGCCACACAUGCAAUAG
rnacentral:rRNA from 1 species